rnacentral:rRNA from 1 species
UCGGGAAUCUUGCACAAUGGGCGGAAGCCUGAUGCAGCAACACCGUGUGAGCGAGGAAGGCCUUCGGGUCGUAAAGCUCUGUUGUUGGGGACGAAGGGCGAAGGGUUAAUAGCCCCUAGCCUGACGGUACCCUUCGAGGAAGCCCCGGCUAACUACGUGCCAGCAGCCGCGGUAAUACGUAGGGGGCGAGCGUUGUCCGGAAUUAUUGGGCGUAAAGAGCGUGUAGGCGGCCCGGUAAGUCCGCCGUGAAAACCUGGGGCUCAACCCCAUCACGGCGUUGGAUACUGUUAGGCUUGACGACUGGAGAGGUGAGUAGAAUUACCAGUGUAGCGGUGGAAUGCGUAGAUACUGGUAGGAAUACCCAUUGCGAAGGCAGCUCACUGGACAGACCGUGACGCUGAGGUGCGAAAGUGUGGGGAGCAAACCGGAUUAGAUACCCGGGUAGUCC